rnacentral:rRNA from 1 species
UUAAAUGAAUUGACGGGGGCCCGCACAAGCGGUGGAGCAUGUGGUUUAAUUCGACGCAACGCGAAGAACCUUACCAGGGCUUGACAUCCCCUGACCGCGUAUGAAAGUACGUUUUCACCCUCGGGUGACAGGGAGACAGGUGGUGCAUGGUUGUCGUCAGCUCGUGUCGUGAGAUGUUGGGUUAAGUCCCGCAACGAGCGCAACCCCUACGUUUAGUUGCUAACGCGUGAAGGCGAGCACUCUAGACGAACUGCCGUUGACAAAACGGAGGAAGGUGGGGAUGACGUCAAAUCAUCAUGCCCCUUAUGUUCUGGGCUACACACGUGCUACAAUGGCCGGUACAGACGGACGCAAAGCCGCGAGGUGGAGCAAAUCCUAAAAAGCCGGUCUCAGUUCGGAUUGCAGGCUGCAAUUCGCCUGCAUGAAGUCGGAAUCGCUAGUAAUCGCAGGUCAGCAUACUGCGGUGAAUACGUUCCCGGGCCUU